rnacentral:rRNA from 1 species
UACGGAGGGUGCAAGCGUUAUCCGGAUUUACUGGGUUUAAAGGGUGCGUAGGUGGGCCUGUAAGUCAGUGGUGAAAUCUUCAAGCUUAACUUGGAAACUACCAUUGAUACUAUAGGUCUUGAAUUAUCUGGAGGUAAGCGGAAUAUGUCAUGUAGCGGUGAAAUGCUUAGAGAUGACAUAGAACACCCAUUGCGAAGGCAGCUUACUACGGAUUGAUUGACGCUGAGGCACGAAAGCGUGGGGAUCAAACAGG